UGUUGCAUUUGUGUAACAAGUCUACCAGACACUGCAGCCGGUGCUGAUUGGAAUUACUUUCGCUGGACAAAUGGGCAAGGCGCUACACUAGAGGCUGCAUGGCCCUGAGUGCUUCUCCCACCACCAGUUUACCGAAUGCUGUCCCCCAGAUACUAAAGAUGACAUGAUCCUGAGAGUGUUUCUCCCACCACCAGUAACAAGUUGGAAAGAAGACUGCCCGCCCAUGAGCAUUGAUGAGGCUCGAAAGUCAUAUUGUAGCAGAAGUAUACAUGUGGAAUAUUGAAUACGAUUGCAUAUGUAAUACUCUAAACCAGAGGUGGGAAGUAACUAAUUACAAAUACUCUUGUUACUGUAAUUA
rnacentral:lncRNA from 1 species